rnacentral:rRNA from 1 species
GUAAGGAAUAUUGGUCAAUGGACGAAAGUCUGAACCAGCCAUGCCGCGUGAAGGAUGAAGGCCCUCUGGGUUGUAAACUUCUUUUAUCUGGGACGAAAAAAGGGUAUUCUUACUCACUUGACGGUACCAGAGGAAUAAGCACCGGCUAACUCCGUGCCAGCAGCCGCGGUAAUACGGAGGGUGCAAGCGUUAUCCGGAUUCACUGGGUUUAAAGGGUGCGUAGGUGGGUAUUUAAGUCAGUGGUGAAAUCUCCGAGCUUAACUCGGAAACUGCCAUUGAUACUAUUUACCUUGAAUGCCCUGGAGGUAAGCGGAAUAUGUCAUGUAGCGGUGAAAUGCUUAGAUAUGACAUAGAACACCAAUUGCGAAGGCAGCUUACUACGGGGUGAUUGACACUGAGGCACGAAAGCGUGGGGAUCAAACAGGAUUAGAAACCCUAGUAGUCC